NCAGCACUAAAGCACCGGAUCCCAUCAGAACUCCGAAGUUAAGCGUGCUUGGGUGAGAGUAGUACUAGGAUGGGUGACCUCGUGUUGCAUUCCCUU
rnacentral:rRNA from 1 species